rnacentral:rRNA from 1 species
GACAGAGGUGCCGAGCGUUAGGCGGAAUCACUGGGCUUAAAGCGUGUGUAGGCGGGCGGGCAAGUACCUUGUGAAAUCCCACGGCUCAACCGUGGAACGGCUGGGUAUACUGCCUGUCUUGAGCCAACUAGGGGCGAGCGGAACAGACGGUGGAGCGGUGAAAUGCGUAGAUAUCGUCGAUGACGCCAAAGGUGAAAACAGCUCGCUGGGGUUGUGCUGACGCUGAGACACGAAAGCCAGGGGAGCGAACGGG